AUCGCUUCUCGGCCUUUUGGCUAAGAUCAAGUGUAGUAUCUGUUCUUAUCAGUUUAAUAUCUGAUACGUCCUCUAUCCGAGGACAAUAUAUUAUAAAAGAGCACACUACAGGGAUACUGCCACAUCGAUGUUCAUAGCAGCACAAUUCACAAUUGCAAGACUGUGGAACCAACCCAGA
rnacentral:snRNA from 1 species